rnacentral:rRNA from 1 species
AGUAACGGCGAGUGAAGCGGUAAAAGCUCAAAUUUGAAAUCUGGUACUUUCAGUGCCCGAGUUGUAAUUUGUAGAAUUUGUCUUUGAUUAGGUCCUUGUCUAUGUUCCUUGGAACAGGACGUCAUAGAGGGUGAGAAUCCCGUUUGGCGAGGAUACCUUUUCUCUGUAAGACUUUUUCGAAGAGUCGAGUUGUUUGGGAAUGCAGCUCAAAGUGGGUGGUAAAUUCCAUCUAAAGCUAAAUAUUGGCGAGAGACCGAUAGCGAACAAGUACAGUGAUGGAAAGAUGAAAAGAACUUUGAAAAGAGAGUGAAAAAGUACGUGAAAUUGUUGAAAGGGAAGGGCAUUUGAUCAGACAUGGUGUUUUUUGCAUGCACUCGCCUCUCGUGGGCUUGGGCCUCUCAAAAAUUUCACUGGGCCAACAUCAAUUCUGGCAGUAGGAUAAAUCAUUAAGAAUGUAGCUACCUCGGUAGUGUUAUAGCUUAUUGGAAUACUGCUAGCUGGGAUUGAGGACUGCGCUUCGGCAAGGAUGUUGGCAUAAUGGUUAAAUGCCGCCCGUCUUGAAACACGGACC